rnacentral:rRNA from 1 species
GACGAACGCUGGCGGCGUGCCUAAUACAUGCAAGUAGAACGCUGAAGAGAGGAGCUUGCUCUUCUUGGAUGAGUUGCGAACGGGUGAGUAACGCGUAGGUAACCUGCCUUGUAGCGGGGGAUAACUAUUGGAAACGAUAGCUAAUACCGCAUAACAAUGGAUGACACAUGUCAUUUAUUUGAAAGGGGCAAUUGCUCCACUACAAGAUGGACCUGCGUUGUAUUAGCUAGUAGGUGAGGUAAUGGCUCACCUAGGCGACGAUACAUAGCCGACCUGAGAGGGUGAUCGGCCACACUGGGACUGAGACACGGCCCAGACUCCUACGGGAGGCAGCAGUAGGGAAUCUUCGGCAAUGGGGGCAACCCUGACCGAGCAACGCCGCGUGAGUGAAGAAGGUUUUCGGAUCGUAAAGCUCUGUUGUAAGUCAAGAACGGGUGUGAGAGUGGAAAGUUCACACUGUGACG